AACGUAGGUUCCGAGCGUUAUCCGGAUUUACUGGGCGUAAAGCGCGUUCAGGCGGUUCGGUAAGUCGGGCAUGAAAUCUCUCGGCUCAACCGGGAGAGGUUGUCCGAUACUGUUGGACUUGAGGGCAGUAGAGGGUGGUGGAAUUCCGGGUGUAGUGGUGAAAUGCGUAGAUAUCCGGAGGAACACCAGUGGCGAAAGCGGCCACCUGGACUGUACCUGACGCUCAAACGCGAAAGCUAGGGGAGCGAACGGG
rnacentral:rRNA from 1 species